rnacentral:rRNA from 1 species
GGUGAACGCUGGCGGCGGGCCUAAUACAUGCAAGUCGAGCGACCAGACGAGGAGCGUGUGCCUCUGAGGUUAGCGGCGGGCGGGCGAGUAACACGUGGAUAGCCUACUUAUAAGACGUGGAGAACAACGGGGAACCGGAUCUAAUAACGCAUAAUAUAUUGAACGGCAGGGUUCAAUAGUGAUAGACGGUUUUGCUGUCUCUAAUAGCUGGAUCCGCGUCGCAUUAGCUAGUUGGUAAGGAAACGGCCUAGCAAGGCGACGAGGCGUAGCGGGUCUGAGAGGAUGAUCAGCCACACUGGAACUGAGACACGGUCCAGACUCCUACGGGAGGCAGCAGUGGGGAAUAUUGGACAAUGGGCGCAAGCCUGAUCCAGCCAUACCGCGUGGGUGAAGAAGGCCUUCGGGUUGUAAAGCCCUUUUGUUGGGAAAGAAAAGCAGCAGGUUAAUACCCCGCUGUUCUGACGGUACCCAAAGAAUAAGCACCGGCUAACUUCGUG